UAUGGAUGCCUGAAUAUUUCCAGGUAGAUUUUAAUUGUUGAAGCUAAAUUGUUAUUGUAGUUCACACUCUCAUCUUGUGAAAUUCUUGGUUCUUCAGAUUUUCUCACUUAAUUUGGCAUUUCCACAUUUUCUGGAGUUAAAUGACAUGAUGAAACACAUUUUGAUUUUAUUUCAACAUCUUUUCAUCAAAGAAGCGUGUUGAUAUUUUUCUUUGGCAGGGAA
rnacentral:misc_RNA from 1 species